rfam:Neolentinus lepideus HHB14362 ss-1 unplaced genomic scaffold NEOLEscaffold_1, whole genome shotgun sequence.
GUCUCCAUAGCUAAGUGGUUAUAGCAUGCGAUUGCAGCAGUGGGCAUUCCUGUCCGAGAUAUCGCAGGGUCCCGUGUUCAAAUCACGGUGGGGACU